AGUGAACGCUGGCGGUAGGCCUAACACAUGCAAGUCGAACGGCAGCACAGUAAGAGCUUGCUCUUACGGGUGGCGAGUGGCGGACGGGUGAGGAAUACAUCGGAAUCUACUUUUUCGUGGGGGAUAACGUAGGGAAACUUACGCUAAUACCGCAUACGACCUACGGGUGAAAGCAGGGGAUCUUCGGACCUUGCGCGAUUGAAUGAGCCGAUGUCGGAUUAGCUAGUUGGCGGGGUAAAGGCCCACCAAGGCGACGAUCCGUAGCUGGUCUGAGAGGAUGAUAAGCCACACUGGAACUGAGACACGGUCCAGACUCCUACGAGAGGCAGCAGUGGGGAAUAUUGGACAAUGGGCGCAAGCCUGAUCCAGCCAUACCGCGUGGGUGAAGAAGGCCUUCGGGUUGUGAAGCCCUUUUGUUGGGAAAGAAAAGCAGCAGGUUAAUACCCCGCUGUUCUGACGGUACCCAAAGAAUAAGCACCGGCUAACUUCGUG
rnacentral:rRNA from 1 species